AGAACCAUGGACGUGCUAAAAAAUGGUUGGAUGUAAUAUUUAAUAUAAAAGAAAAAAAUUUACAAUUUCUUUUUUUUUCUUCUUCUCUCUCUCUCUCUCGCGACGAAGAGUUGCGAAAUUGAUUGAGAUUUUUCUCAAUGAUCUGUUGGAAGUGGAGUAGAUCGAUUCGGGUUUUGGUGACUUUUAUCUGUUCUCGGCCUUUAAGCUCAACCUCCCCACCGAUGGCGGAUCUCAACGGCGAUUCUCUGUGAGUUAAUCGACAAGUUGGUUGGAUGAAAUCAGAGACCACCAAGUCGUAGCCUUUCCUUCACCAAAUCGGAGAUGUUCAAUCACCAAUCUCUUUCUCAUGCAGGGUUUCUCGCAACUUUUAUGAAAGCUUAUGUAUUGAAAGCUUACCCGGCGAUGAAAGCUUAUGUAUUGCUAUAUUCUGAUUUCUGGGUUCAGAACUGGGCAGUUCAUAGAAGUGGCUAUCUCUCGGUUUCUGCUUAUAGCUCAUCAUGGUGCUGGUGUUAGUUUAGGUGUCAAUAUGUCUAUCUAUCCUAUAUGGGCUGAAGGUUGUGUGAAUGGAUACCUCCGCUGUGUUGAAUACGAGAGAAUCCCAUCCAAAAUUUGGCCUUCUGAUUUCAUGAUUUUGUUAUAUGUGACAUUUAUAAUGUUAGGGUGGUCCAUUGGGUGGUUACGGUGUUCCUCCCCUUGAUUUGUUAUAUAUGUGACAGUACCAAGUAUAUUCAGAUCAAAAACGGUUGCCGGAGGGCGUUCUUAAAGUAACAACAUCAAACUAAUCGAUUAAGAGGUGUGUGUGCGUGUUCGUGUUCUAACUCUCAUUUGGAUAUUUUUGCUUUACUCAGGCAAGU